rnacentral:misc_RNA from 1 species
GAACUGCGAUAAGUAAUGUGAAUUGCAGAAUUCAGUGAAUCAUCGAGUCUUUGAACGCACAUUGCGCCCCCUGGCAUUCCGGGGGGCAUGCCUGUCCGAGCGUCAUUGCUGCCCUUCAAGCCCGGCUUGUGUGUUGGGUCGUCGUCCCCUCCGGGGGACGGGCCCGAAAGGCAGCGGCGGCACCGCGUCCGGUCCUCGAGCGUAUGGGGCUUUGUCACCCGCUCGAUAAGGACCGGCCGGGCGCCAGCCGGCGUCUCCAACCUUUUUUUCUCAGGUUGACCUCGGAUCAGGUAGGGAUACGCGCUGAACAUAAGC